UUGGCCCUGAAUCAAGGCCAGCAGUUUACUGAAGCUGUUGGUUUCAAGCAGGAGCUUAAAAAAUUAUCUUUCUAUGGUCUGUUGGCCAUUUCAGAACUUAGAAAUGUAAUGGUCAGUUCAUUAGAAAGAAACAUAU
ensembl:snoRNA